rnacentral:rRNA from 1 species
AGUUUGAUCAUGGCUCAGGAUGAACGCUAGCGGCAGGCCUAAUACAUGCAAGUCGAACGGUAACAUGAAUAGCAAUAUUUGAUGACGAGUGGCGCACGGGUGCGUAACGCGUAUGCAAUCUACCUUCAACUGGUGAAUAGCCCGAAGAAAUUCGGAUUAACACACCAUAAUAUAAUAGAGUGGCAUCACUUUAUUAUUAAAACUACGGUGGUUGAAGAUGAGCAUGCGUGACAUUAGCUAGUUGGUGAGGUAAUGGCUCACCAAGGCUACGAUGUCUAGGGGAUCUGAGAGGAUUAACCCCCACACUGGUACUGAGACAGGGACCAGACUCCUACGGGAGGCAGCAGUAAGGAAUAUUGGACAAUGGUGGAAACACUGAUCCAGCCAUGCCGCGUGCAGGAUGACAGCCCUAUGGGUCGUAAACUGCUUUUGUACGGGAAAAAGCCUCUUUACGUGUAAAGAGCUGAUUGUACUGUAAGAAUAAGGAUCGGCUAACUCCGUGCCAGCAGCCGCGGUAAUACGG